rnacentral:rRNA from 1 species
UACGGAGGGUGCAAGCGUUGUUCGGAAUCACUGGGCGUAAAGGGCGUGUAGGCGGCCCGCUAAGUCUGAUGUGAAAUCCCCUCGCUCAACGAGGGAACUGCGUCGGAAACUGGCGGACUCGAGUACCGGAGAGGAAGGUGGAAUUCCCGGUGUAGCGGUGAAAUGCGUAGAUAUCGGGAGAACACCGGUGGCGAAGGCGGCCUUCUGGACGGAUACUGACGCUGAGACGCGAAAGCGUGGGGAGCAAA